rnacentral:lncRNA from 1 species
CAAAUAGCUCCUCAGGUCAGCUCUCUGUGUAUUAUGGCUGCUAAAGAAGGUAGCUGCAAAAAAUUUCAGAGACUUCUUUAAGGUGUAUUCUUUUAUCCCAGGCCCCCUGAUCGUUGAUAUUGCACUUUAAAGAUUUUUACAUUCUUUUGCAGGUGCUUCUAACAUGACACAACCUCAGGCAUUGGUGGAAAUUUCUCUUUUGAGGGGGUUCUGGCAGUCAUCUCUAUGUCAAGUUUUCAAACCGUACCCACCUUGGGAUUCCUGUUGCCACUUGGAAAGAUUCUCAGGAUGGUGCCUGCCACAAAGACCUUGGGAACCACAGGAUAAUAUCAAAGGUGAGU